ACUUGUAGACCAAAGAUGUUGUUGCCAUAAGGACUGCUACCCUGGGAUGUCUCGCAGUUUUCCUCGACAACGAUGGAGGAGAGUUCUACAAUGUCUCUUGAUUCAGAUGCCAUGGCAGACUUCAUCCAGGUUCCUGUGGGGUUAUUGACUGUUAUGUUAUGCUAAGUAUAUCAUUUUGUUAAAAUAAAAUGUUGAAUCUUGUAAAUUUAAAAUCUGUGCCUGUGGUAGGCUGAACUAUUUUGAAGUUUCUUGUUACUAAUUAAACACUGAC